UGGGGAAUAUUGCACAAUGGGCGAAAGCCCGAUGCAGCAACGCCGCGUGAGUGAUGAAGGCCUUCGGGUUGUAAAGCUCUGUCUUCUGGGACGAUAAUGACGGUACCAGAGGAGGAAGCCACGGCUAACUACGUGCCAGCAGCCGCGGUAAUACGUAGGUGGCAAGCGUUGUCCGGAUUUACUGGGCGUAAAGGAUGCGUAGGCGGAUACUUAAGUCAGAUGUGAAAAUCCCAGGCUUAACUUGGGAACUGCAUUUGAAACUGGGUAUCUAGAGUGCGGGAGAGGAAAGUGGAAUUCCUAGUGUAGCGGUGAAAUGCGUAGAGAUUAGGAAGAACACCAGUGGCGAAGGCGACUUUCUGGACCGUAACUGACGCUGAGGCAUGAAAGCGUGGGGAGCAAACA
rnacentral:rRNA from 1 species